CCCUUAGAUGUUCUGGGCCGCACGCGCGCUACACUGAUGCAUUCAACGAGUCUAAAACCUGCUCUGAUAGGGCUGGGUAAUCUUUUGAAUGUGCAUCGUGAUUGGGAUAGAUGAUUGCAAUUUUUCAUCUUCAACGAGGAAUGCCUAGUAAACGCAAGUCAUCAGCUUGCAUUGAUUACGUCCCUGCCCUUUGUACACACCGCCCGUCGCUCCUACCGAUUGAAUGAUCCGAUGAAUAUCAUGGAUUGAGGAUGCAAGCAGGUUCGCCUGUCUUCAUCUUCGAGAAGUGAAGUAAAUCUUAUCAUUUAGAGGAAGGAGAAGUCGUAACA
rnacentral:rRNA from 1 species